UACGUAGGGCGCAAGCGUUAUCCGGAAUUAUUGGGCGUAAAGAGCUCGUAGGCGGUCGUUCAAGUCGAGUGUGAAAGCCCCCGGCUCAACUGGGGAGGGUCACUCGAUACUGAUCGACUUGAAGGCGGGAGAGGGAAGCGGAAUUCCCAGUGUAGAGGUGAAAUUCGUAGAUAUUGGGAAGAACACCAGUGGCGAAGGCGGCUAACUGGUCCAGCACUGACGCUGAGGUGCGAAAGCGUGGGGAGCAAACAGG
rnacentral:rRNA from 1 species